GGAAAGAAGACCUGCUGAAUUUAAGCAUAUAAUUAAGCAGAGGAAAAGAAACCAACCGGGAUUCCCUCAGUAGCGGCGAGCGAAGCGGGAAGAGCUCAUCAUGAAAAUCUUUUUUUACAAAAAGAAUUGUAGUCUGUCGAUGCGCAUCCAGUUUUGUGAAAAGGUCAAAGUCCCAUGGAAGUGGGCACGAUACAGGGUGAAAGUCCCGUUCGUGGCUUUUUUUCAUACAAGACGUACGGAGUGUAUUCAAGGAGUCGUGUUGCUUGGGACUGCAGCGCCAAGUGGGUGGUAAAUUCCAUCUAAAGCUAAAUAUUGACGAGAGACCGAUAGUGGAAAAGUACUGUGAAGGAAAGAUGAAAAGAACUUUGAAAAGAGAGUGAAAAGUACCUGAAAUCGUUGAAAGGGAAGGGUUUGCGCCCAGUGUUGGUGUUUGUUGUUUUCAGCUGUCUUUUUCGGAAGU
rnacentral:rRNA from 1 species